AUUUUAUUAUAUUUAUUUUUUGUUUAUUUAAUUAUUUAAUAUAAAUAAUUUUAUUGUAUUUUUGUCUUAGUAUAUUUUAUAGAAUUGAUUUUUUAAAUUAUAGUUUAUUGGUAAUGUAAGUGUUUUAUGAAAUAUUAUUUUAAAUUUUUUUAAGUAGAUUUUAUUUAUUGUACCUUUUGUAUCAGGGUUUAUCAAAAUUUUAGUAUUUAUUUUACUUGUCUCGAUUUGGGUUGAUUUAUAAAUAAUUUAUAGUUAAUGUAUCAUAAUUAUUAUUAAAUUAUUUACAGGAAUGAGAUGUUAAUCGUUUCCCAAGAUAUCUAGUUUCUUAAGAAAAAAUUUAAUUUUUUAAAGUUAUUUGUUUUUAUUUAAUUUUUUAAGUAAAAAUAUUAACUUAUUUAUUCUUUAAGGGAUAAGCUUUGAAGUUAAUAACCUAUAAUUAAUUUUAUAGAAAUAUAAUAGUAAGCUUUAAACCAGCUAUCUUUAAGAUUACGUUUUAGUUCAUUAUUUUUUAUUUUGAUUUUAUAAAUAUUUUAGGUUUUUUAUUAAGAUUAUUAAUUUAAUUUUAAAAUUUUUGUAAUAAUGAUAGAAUUAGUAUAUUUAUUUGUAUGAAAUUUUUACCUUGUGAACUUAUUAUAAGGAACUAGGCAAAAUUGAUUUCCGCCUGUUUAUCAAAAACAUGUCCUCUUGUUUAUAUUUUGAGGUCUGGCCUGCUCACUGAGCGUAUUUUUAAAGAGCCGCGGUAUUUUGACCGUGCAAAGGUAGCAUAAUCAUUAGUCUCUUAAUUAGUGGCUGGAAUGAAUGGCUUGACGAGAAAUCAACUGUCUCUUAAUAAAUUUUUGAAUUUAACUUUUGAGUCAAAAGGCUUAAAUUCUUCUUUAGGACGAGAAGACCCUAUAGAGGUUGACAUUUUACUUUUAUAUAGUUUUUUGUUUGUCUUUCUAUAUUUAAUGAUGAUGUUUUGUUGGGGUGACAUGAAGAAUAGAUAAACUCUUCAUUAUUAUAUCAUUUAUUUAUGUUUGUUAUUUUGAUCCAUAACUUAUGAUCAUAAGAUUAAGUUACCUUAGGGAUAACAGCGUAAUUGUUUUUGAGAGCUCAUAUCGACAAAGCAGAUUGCGACCUCGAUGUUGGAUUAAGAAAAAUUUUGGGUGCAGGAGCCCAAUGAUUAGGUCUGUUCGACCUUUAAAUUCUUACAUGAUCUGAGUUCAGACCGGCGUGAGCCAGGUCGGUUUCUAUCCUAAGAUUGUUAAUCCAUAUUAGUACGAAAGGACCAUAUGGUUAAAAUAUUUUUUGUUAUAUUGAUUAAUAUUAAUUUAUUUA